UCGAGAAUUUUUCUCAAUGGGGGAAACCCUGAAGGAGCGACGCCGCGUGGAGGAUGAAGGCUUUCGGGUUGUAAACUCCUGUCAUUUGGGAACAAUGCUUUCCAAUUAACUGUUGGAAAGUUGAUAGUACCAGAAGAGGAAGAGACGGCUAACUCUGUGCCAGCAGCCGCGGUAAUACAGAGGUCUCAAGCGUUGUUCGGAUUCAUUGGGCGUAAAGGGUGCGUAGGUGGCGUGGUAAGUCGGGUGUGAAAUUUCGGAGCUUAACUCCGAAACUGCAUUCGAUACUGCCGUGCUUGAGGACUGGAGAGGAGACUGGAAUUUACGGUGUAGCAGUGAAAUGCGUAGAGAUCGUAAGGAAGACCAGUGGCGAAGGCGGGUCUCUGGACAGUUCCUGACACUGAGGCACGAAGGCCAGGGGAGCAAACG
rnacentral:rRNA from 1 species